GAUGAACGCUGGCGGCGUGCCUAAUACAUGCAAGUCGAGCGAACAGACGAGGAGCUUGCUCCUCUGACGUUAGCGGCGGACGGGUGAGUAACACGUGGAUAACCUACCUAUAAGACUGGGAUAACUUCGGGAAACCGGAGCUAAUACCGGAUAAUAUAUUGAACCGCAUGGUUCAAUAGUGAAAGACGGUUUUGCUGUCACUUAUAGAUGGAUCCGCGCCGCAUUAGCUAGUUGGUAAGGUAACGGCUUACCAAGGCGACGAUGCGUAGCCGACCUGAGAGGGUGAUCGGCCACACUGGAACUGAGACACGGUCCAGACUCCUACGGGAGGCAGCAGUAGGGAAUCUUCCGCAAUAGGCGAAGGCCUGACGGAGCAACGCCGCGUGAGUGAUGAAGGUCUUCGGAUCGUAAAACUCUGUUAUUAGGGAAGAACAAAUGUGUAAGUAACUAUGCACGUCUUGACGGUACCUAAUCAGAAAGCCACGGCUAACUACGUG
rnacentral:rRNA from 1 species